CGGUGUUCAACUGGCGUGCCCGCGGGACGUCCUGCCGGUGAGCUCAGCCCGCGAGGGCGGCUCAACUUGAAAUCCCAUCGCGGUGCUCUUCAUUGAGUGUCGAGGUGGGCCGGCACGAUUACUUUUGAACAAAUUAGAGUGCUUAAAGCAGGCUAAAAUUUUGCCUGAAUACUGUGUAUAUGGAAUAAUGGAAUAGGACCUCGGUUCUAUUUUGUUGGUUUUCGGAACCCCGAGGUAAUGAUUAAUAGGAACGGAUGGGGGCAUUCGUAUUGCGACGUUAGAGGUGAAAUUCUUGGAUCGUCGCAAGACGGACUAAAGCGAAAGCAUUUGCCAAAAACGCUUUCAUUGAUCAAGAACGAAAGUUAGAGGUUCGAAGGCGAUCAGAUACCGCCCUAGUUCUAACCAUAAACUAUGCCAGCUAGCGAUCCGCCGACGUCCCUCUGAUGACUCGGCGGGCAGCUUCCGGGAAACCAAAGCUUUUGGGUUCCGGGGGAAGUAUGGUUGCAAAGCUGAAACUUAAAGGAAUUGACGGAAGGGCACCACCAGGAGUGGAGCCUGCGGCUUAAUUUGACUCAACACGGGAAACCUCACCAGGCCCAGACACUGGAAGGAUUGACAGAUUGAGAGCUCUUUCUUGAUUCAGUGGGUGGUGGUGCAUGGCCGUUCUUAGUCGGUGGAGCGAUUUGUCAGGUUAAUUCCGAUAACGAACGAGACUCUGACCUGAUAACUAGACGCACUUGCGGCAUCUCAAAGGUCCGCCGGCGGCUGGCUUUGCGCCCGUCGUCGCGCGCGAUUUUUACUGCCGGCGUACAAUAAAUUCUUCUUAGAGGGACAAGUGG
rnacentral:rRNA from 1 species